rnacentral:lncRNA from 1 species
GGUGUGUCCUGUUGAAGUGAGCAGCGUGCAGACAGAAUCCAACUGCACAGAAAGCCCGCGCAGAUGCAACAAUUUCUUGUGAAUCAGGGCAGAAUACGGCGAAGAUAAAAGCGGCGAGCGAGAGUGACGUGGCAGACCUGGUGGCAUCAAGCUGCUCAAGAACGGCAGAAACACAAGGGCCAUAACGCGGAGUGAAACACUCAGAAAGGCGCUAAGUACGAAAUACGCCCAAUACUUCUGAAAGCCAUGUGCACUAAAUACAAGCAUACAUGCAUUAUUUUACAAAAUUAUCCAAGAUCGCUAAAGAAGUUGAAGAACAUAUCAUUGUUUAUAUGUUUGCGGCUACUCAUGGCUGCAAAAUUUGCGGCUGCGACUGAUUCAUCGGAAAACAUGACUGGUCUGGAAUAUCUGUUCAAGCAUCUAUCUUAUUCGUCAGCUCAACUCGAGCUUCCCAGCCGAGAGUUCUCUCUUAGUGUGA